AUGACUUGCAAUCCUAAAUGGGAAGAGAUAACAAAUGAGUUGCUGCCUGGUCGGACGGUACAAGACCAACCUGAUCUUGUGGCUCGCGUGUUCUUCGGCAAACUAGAGGCUAUGAAGGACAUGUUGUUCAAGAAGCACAACCUGGGUGUUGUUGUCGCAUAUGUGUAUGUUGUCGAGUUUCAAAAAAGGGGCCUC
rnacentral:rRNA from 1 species